AUGACGGCCACUGCCGGCGAGGGCGACCCAGUGGUCGGCCGUGACGACGAGAUCGACCGCGUCGUCCGCAUCCUCUGCCGCAGGACCAAGAACUGCGCCGCGCUCGUCGGAGCAGCGGGCCGUGUUGCCGCCGGUAAGGUUCCUGCGCCGCUUGUCGGAGCGCGGGUCAUAGAGCUUAACGUCGCUGGCUUGGUAGCGGGGACCGUCUGGCGCGGCAUGUUCGAGGAGCGCAUGAAGAACGUGAUACAGCAGGCGGAGGAAGCCAAAGGCAAGGUGAUACUGUUCAUCAACGAGAUGCACAUGCUUCUCGGUGCCGGCAGGUGCGAGGGCGGCCGCGUUGAUGCCGCCAACAUGCUGAAGCCGGCGCUGGCCCGUGGGCGCAUCCGCUGCGUCGGCGCCACCACGUUAGACGAGUACAGCCAGCACAUCGACAAGGAUGCCGCGCUCGAGCGUCGGUUCCAGAAGGUGCAUGUGGAUGAGCCGAGCGAGCAGGCGACCGUUGGCAUCCUCAGGGGUCUAAAGAAGCGUUUCGAAGAGCACCAUGGCAUCAAAAUUCAGGAUGCUGCAGUUGUUGCUGCGGCGCAGCUCGCUGGCCGCUAUGUCACCGGCCGACAAUUUCCUGAUAAGGCAAUUGAUCUAAUUGAUGAAGCUUGCACAACAACGAAAGGAGGACAAGCAAUUGUUAGCCCGGAUCAUGUCGCAGAGGUCGUGAGCCGAUGGACUGGAAUUCCUGUCGCGGCACUUGAUUCGGAUGAGACGGAAAAGCUAAUCCAUCUUGCAGAUAGAUUGCACGAACGAGUUGUUGGUCAGAAUCAAGCUGUCAAAUUAGUUGUGCAAGCAGUGUUACGUUCGAGGGCAGGUCUUGAUCCACCUGGACAACCAAUAGGUUCUUUCCUUUUCUUGGGCUCGACCGGGGUUGGAAAGACAGAGCUUGCAAAAGCUCUAGCCGAACAGUUGUUUGACAAUGAAAAGAUGUUGCUUCGAUUUGAUAUGUCGGAAUACGUCAAUUCUGGAUCUGUGAUGCGCCUCAUUGGAGCACCCCCAAGUUAUCAUGGUUACCAUGAUGGUGGACAAUUGACUGAGAAAGUCCGGAGCCGUCCAUACUGUGUCAUCCUCUUUGAUGAAGUGGAGAAGGCCGAUCCCUCGGUAUUAAAUGUAUUUCUUCAGCUACUUGAUGAUGGUGUCUUGACUGAUGGCAAAGGUCGUAAGGUAGAUUUCAAGAACACGGUCAUCAUUAUGACCUCAAAUCUAGGUGCAGAGCACCAAAUUGCAGGAAUUCGGGGUGAAAACACAAUGAAAGAUGCACGAGACCUUCUAAUGAAAAAGGUACAUCAAUAUUUCAAGCCAGAGCUUCUGAACAGGUUAAGCCAGAUUGUUGUGUUUGACCCACUUUCGCAUGAUCAACUAAUGGAGGUUGUGAAAAUCCAAAUGAAGAGCGCCACCACCAGAGUAGCAAAAAAGGGCAUAUCUUUAUCUGUGAGUGACGGCGCAUUGGACGUCAUUUUGUCGGAGUCAUACAACCCAAUGUAUGGUGCAAGGCCCAUAAGAAGCUGGGUACAGAAUAAUGUGAUGACGGUGAUCUCGGAGAUGCUUGUCAAAAAGGAAGCUAGCAAGGGCUCGACAAUCUUCAUCGAUGUUGCAGACAACAAGAAGGGCCUGAAGUAUGAUGUGGUGAAUGAGGAGGUAGCCGAUGCACGUGAGGUGUCAACUCCCACGGUGAUGAUUUGA
rnacentral:rRNA from 1 species